UACGUAGGCAGCGAGCGUUGUUCGGAAUUACUGGGCGUAAAGAGUGUGUAGGCGGUGUUCCCAGUCUGUUGUGAAAUCUCCCGGCUUAACUGGGAGGGUGCAGCGGAAACUAGAAUGCUAGAGGGUGGGAGAGGUAAGCGGAAUUCCUGGUGUAGCGGUGAAAUGCGUAGAUAUCAGGAGGAACACCUGUGGUGUAGACAGCUUACUGGACCACUUCUGACGCUGAGACACGAAAGCGUGGGUGGCAAACAGG
rnacentral:rRNA from 1 species